UGGGGAAUCUUAGACAAUGGGGGCAACCCUGAUCUAGCCAUGCCGCGUGAGUGAUGAAUGCCUUAGGGUUGUAAAGCUCUUUCAGCUGGGAAGAUAAUGACGGUACCAGCAGAAGAAGCCCCGGCUAACUCCGUGCCAGCAGCCGCGGUAAUACGGAGGGGGCUAGCGUUGUUCGGAAUUACUGGGCGUAAAGCGCACGUAGGCGGACUGGAAAGUUGGGGGUGAAAUCCCGGGGCUCAACCUCGGAACUGCCUUCAAAACUAUCAGUCUGGAGUUCGAGAGAGGUGAGUGGAAUUCCGAGUGUAGAGGUGAAAUUCGUAGAUAUUCGGAGGAACACCAGUGGCGAAGGCGGCUCACUGGCUCGAUACUGACGCUGAGGUGCGAAAGCGUGGGGAGCAAACA
rnacentral:rRNA from 1 species